GGGUGAGUAACACGUGAGUAACCUGCCCUUGACUCUGGGAUAAGCCUGGGAAACUGGGUCUAAUACCGGAUACGACCAUUGCCCGCAUGGGUUGGUGGUGGAAAGCUUUUGUGGUUUUGGAUGGACUCGCGGCCUAUCAGCUUGUUGGUGAGGUAAUGGCUCACCAAGGCGACGACGGGUAGCCGGCCUGAGAGGGUGACCGGCCACACUGGGACUGAGACACGGCCCAGACUCCUACGGGAGGCAGCAGUGGGGAAUAUUGCACAAUGGGCGAAAGCCUGAUGCAGCGACGCCGCGUGAGGGAUGACGGCCUUCGGGUUGUAAACCUCUUUCAGUAGGGAAGAAGCGAAAGUGACGGUACCUGCAGAAGAAGCGCCGGCUAACUACGUGCCAGCAGCCGCGGUAAUACGUAGGGCGCAAGCGUUAUCCGGAAUUAUUGGGCGUAAAGAGCUCGUAGGCGGUUUGUCGCGUCUGCUGUGAAAGGCCAGGGCUCAACCCUGGUUCUGCAGUGGGUACGGGCAGACUUGAGUGAUGUAGGGGAGACUGGAAUUCCUGGUGUAGCGGUGAAAUGCGCAGAUAUCAGGAGGAACACCGAUGGCGAAGGCAGGUCUCUGGGCAUUAACUGACGCUGAGGAGCGAAAGGCAUGGGGAGCGAACAGGAUUAGAUACCCUGGUAGUCCAUGCCGUAAACGUUGGGCACUAGGUGUGGGGGACAUUCCACGUUUUCCGCGCCGUAGCUAA
rnacentral:rRNA from 1 species